GAACCGGGGUAUCCCGGCUAG
rnacentral:snRNA from 1 species